rnacentral:rRNA from 1 species
CUACGUAGGUGGCAAGCGUUGUCCGGAUUUACUGGGCGUAAAGGGCGUGUAGCCGGGAAGGCAAGUCAGAUGUGAAAUCUGGAGGCUCAACCUCCAAACUGCAUUUGAAACUGCUUUUCUUGAGUCUCGGAGAGGUAAUCGGAAUUCCUUGUGUAGCGGUGAAAUGCGUAGAUAUAAGGAAGAACACCAGUGGCGAAGGCGGAUUACUGGACGACAACUGACGGUGAGGCGCGAAAGCGUGGGGAGCAAACAGGAUUAGAUACCCUGGUAGUCCACGCUGUAAACGAUCAAUACUAGGUGUGCGGGGACUGACCCCCUUCGUGCCGCAGUUAACACAAUAAGUAUUGCACCUGGGGAGUACGAUCGCAAGGUUGAAACUUAAAUGAAUUGACGGGG